GCAAGUCGAACGGUAACAUUGGUGCUUGCACCAGGUGACGAGUGGCGCACGGGUGCGUAACGCGUAUGCAAUCUACCUUUUACUGAAGAAUAGCCCAGAGAAAUUUGGAAUAAUCCUUCAUAAUAUCAUUUAUCAGCAUUGAUUUAUGAUUAAAGCUCCGGCGGUAAAAGAUGAGCAUGCGUCCUAUUAGUUUGUUGGUGAGGUAACGGCUCACCAAGACUACGAUAGGUAGGGGCCCUGAGAGGGGGAUCCCCCACACUGGUACUGAGACACGGACCAGACUCCUACGGGAGGCAGCAGUGAGGAAUAUUGGACAAUGGAGGCAACUCUGAUCCAGCCAUGCCGCGUGCAGGAUGACUGCCCUAUGGGUUGUAAACUGCUUUUAUAUAGGAAGAAACACUCCCACGUGUGGGGGCUUGACGGUACUAUAUGAAUAAGGAUCGGCUAACUCCGUGCCAGCAGCCGCGGUAAUACGGAGGAUCCAAGCGUUAUCCGGAAUCAUUGGGUUUAAAGGGUCCGCAGGCGGCCUGUUAAGUCAGAGGUGAAAGCCAACAGCUCAACUGUUGAACUGCCUUUGAUACUGAUAGGCUUGAGUUAUUGUGAAGUGGUUAGAAUGUGUGGUGUAGCGGUGAAAUGCUUAGAUAUCACACAGAAUACCCAUUGCGAAGGCAGAUCACUAACAAUAUACUGACGCUCAUGGACGAAAGCGUGGGGAGCGAACGGGAUUAGAUACCCCGGUAGUCCACGCCGUAAA
rnacentral:rRNA from 1 species